rnacentral:rRNA from 1 species
AGCAGUCGCCGCGGUAAUACGUAGGUGGCAAGCGUUGUCCGGAAUUAUUGGGCGUAAAGGGCUCGCAGGCGGUUUCUUAAGUCUGAUGUGAAAGCCCCCGGCUCAACCGGGGAGGGUCAUUGGAAACUGGGAUACUUGAGUGCAGAAGAGGAGAGUGGAAUUCCACGCGUAGCGGUGAAAUGCGUAGAGAUGUGGAGGAACACCAGUGGCGAAGGCGACUCUCUGGUCUGUAACUGACGCUGAGGAGCGAAAGCGUGGGGAGCGAACAGGAUUAGAUACCCCGGUAGUCCCUGUCUCUUAUAC